GGGCCUGUAGCUCAGUUGGUAGAGCACCGCGUUUACACCGCGGUUGUCGUCGGUUCGAGCCCGGCCGGGCCCA
rnacentral:tRNA from 2 species